rnacentral:rRNA from 1 species
GGAGGGUGCAAGCGUUGUUCGGAAUUACUGGGCGUAAAGGGCGUGUAGGCGGCCAAGAAAGUCGGGCGUGAAAGCCCUCGGCUUAACCGAGGAAGUGCGCUCGAAACUACAUGGCUUGAGUACCGGAGAGGGAGGUGGAAUUCCCGGUGUAGAGGUGAAAUUCGUAGAUAUCGGGAGGAACACCGGUGGCGAAGGCGGCCUCCUGGACGGAUACUGACGCUGAGACGCGAAAGCGUGGGUAGCAAACAGGAUUAGAUACCCUGGUAGUCCACGCUGUAAACGUUGGGCACUAGGUGUGGCGGGUGUUAACCCCUGCCGUGCCGCAGCUAACGCAUUAAGUGCCCCGCCUGGGGAGUACGGUCGCAAGGCUA